UUAAAUUGAAGAGUUUGAUCAUGGCUCAGAUUGAACGCUGGCGGCAGUCCUAACACAUGCAAGUCGAACGGUAACAGGAAGAAGCUUGCUUCUU
rnacentral:rRNA from 1 species